GCAAGCCGGUGAGCAGGUUACGGAUGCCAUAGGCGUCUGAGGAAGCUCCUCCCUCCCCAUAGAAUAGGGGCAUCGCGAGAUGCAGGGGGAAACCCCUAGCUCCUGCACAGAAACGAUAUCUCCGCCAUCCAAUGGAAAUGACGCGGUCGAACCGUCGAUGACGAUGGCAGGUGGAGUGAAACGUCUGCCUCCCUUGGAGAAAGGCCAUAUAGGGGCUGAUGAGACUAUGUGAGAGCCCGGGUAGGCCGAUUAGCUGAAUCCUGCUUAAAACAGAAGGAGGGCUACGGCCGGCUUGC
rnacentral:RNase_P_RNA from 2 species